rnacentral:rRNA from 1 species
GACGGAGGAUGCAAGUGUUAUCCGGAAUCACUGGGCGUAAAGCGUCUGUAGGUGGUUUAAUAAGUCAACUGUUAAAUCUUGAGGCUCAACCUCAAAAUCGCAGUCGAAACUAUUAGGCUAGAGUAUAGUAGGGGUAAAGGGAAUUUCCAGUGGAGCGGUGAAAUGCGUAGAGAUGGAAAGAACACCGAUGGCGAAGGCACUUUACUGGGCUAUUACUAACACUCAGAGACGAAAGCUAGGGUAGCAAAUGGG